GAAGAUAUAUGGUAGAUUAGUAUGUAUACAUAUAUAAAUACAGAGCAGGGCUGCUGCGCUCUCAGGAGCACAGAGGCCUCCGUGCUCUUGAGUCGUUUUCGUUGAUGGAAUUUUCGAAUCGACGAUCGGCUCCGUUAGAUUUGAUCUAGCGCAUUUGAAGUUUCUAGAAAGUAAUUUUUACGAUUUUUUGAUAUCAUUUACCUAGUGAUUGACAGAAUUCAAAAUCCACAAUUUUUAAUGGUUGAUAUCUGUCAUUUUCAAAUUUAACGGUGUAGAAGUAUUCAAAUCAGAUGAAAUUUUGAUACAAAAUUAUUUAUACUAUCUACAACAAGAUCAAUAUUUCUGAUCGAAAAUUUUAGUGCUAUAUCACCACUUUUUAUAGAAUUUUUAUUUUCAGCCGUUAAAAAUUAUUGUUUUUGAAUCCUUUCGAUUGCGAGAUAAAUGAUAUCGAAAAAUCGCAAAAAUUAUUUUCUAGAAACUUCAAAUACGCUAGAUCAAGUUUAACGGAGCCGGUCGUCGAUUCGGAAACUUCAUCAUCGAAAACGGCUCAGGAGCAUGGAGGCAUUCGUGCUCCUGAGAGCACAGCAGCCCUGCUCUAUAAAUACGCUCUGAACUUAUAUAUUAUUGCUAAAGUGCGCCAGAUCUAGCAUCUGUAUUCUCAGGAUCCUCUAUCCAAUCUUGUAUAUAUCUAAAACCAAAAUUUCGGCGCACGUACCGGGGGAUUAGGGUACUAUUU
rnacentral:lncRNA from 1 species